rnacentral:rRNA from 1 species
UACAGAGGUGGCAAGCGUUGUUCGGAAUUACUGGGCGUAAAGGGCGCGUAGGCGGUUCGAUAAGUCCCGUGUGAAAUCCCUCGGCUCAACUGAGGAACUGCACGGGAAACUGACGGGCUUGAGUUCGGGAGAGGGAAGCGGAAUUCCGGGUGUAGCGGUGAAAUGCGUAGAUAUGCGGAGGAACACCGAUGGCGAAGGCAAUCCCCUGGGCCUGCACUGACGCUCAUGCACGAAAGCGUGGGGAGCAAACAGG